rnacentral:rRNA from 1 species
GUGGGGAAUAUUGGACAAUGGGCGCAAGCCUGAUCCAGCCAUGCCGCGUGAGUGAUGAAGGCCUUAGGGUUGUAAAGCUCUUUCAGUGGGGACGAUAAUGACGGUACCCACAGAAGAAGCCCCGGCUAACCUCGUGCCAGCAGCCGCGGUAAUACGAAGGGGGCUAGCGUUGUUCGGAUUUACUGGGCGUAAAGCGCACGUAGGCGGAUCGUUAAGUCGGGGGUGAAAUCCUGGAGCUCAACUCCAGAACUGCCUUCGAUACUGGCGAUCUUGAGUCCGGAAGAGGUGAGUGGAACUCCUAGUGUAGAGGUGGAAUUCGUAGAUAUUAGGAAGAACACCAGUGGCGAAGGCGGCUCACUGGUCCGGUACUGACGCUGAGGUGCGAAAGCGUGGGGAGCAAACAGGAUUAGAAACCCUAGUAGUCC